GCCUCCGUGGAGCAAUCGGCUAGCGCGUUCGGCUGUUAACCGAAAGGUUGGUGGUUCGCGCCCACCCGGGGGCG
rnacentral:tRNA from 1 species